rnacentral:rRNA from 1 species
AGCGAACGCUGGCGGCAGGCCUAACACAUGCAAGUCGAACGAAGUCUUCGGACUUAGUGGCGGACGGGUGAGUAACACGUGGGAACGUACCUUUUGGUUCGGAACAACUCAGGGAAACUUGAGCUAAUACCGGAUGAGCCCUUAGGGGGAAAGAUUUAUCGCCGAAAGAGCGGCCCGCGUUAGAUUAGCUAGUUGGUGAGGUAAAGGCUCACCAAGGCUACGAUCUAUAGCUGGUCUGAGAGGAUGAUCAGCCACACUGGGACUGAGACACGGCCCAGACUCCUACGGGAGGCAGUAGUGGGGAAUCUUGCGCAAUGGGCGAAAGCCUGACGCAGCCAUGCCGCGUGAAUGAUGAAGGUCUUAGGAUUGUAAAAUUCUUUUACCAGGGACGAUAAUGACGGUACCUGGAGAAAAAGCCCCGGCUAACUUCGUGCCAGCCGCCGCAGUAAUAC